AGCCCUUUGAUUCAACAGAUCAUCACAUGUACAAAGAAACUGUUCUAAAACAGUUUCUAAUUCAGAACUUUGGCAUUGAAAAACGCGGACAAAGUACUCUUCAUGACCUGCUAAUUGUUUGGGAGUUUGAUUUCUGGAACUACUUGAGGUAUUGUAAGAUGUUAGAGCAGUUCCUUCAAUCAACUCAAUGAUUUUACAGAUUGACUUUCUCAGAUUAGAAUGACAGUGUUGCUUCUUUGUUGUUCCGGUCAAGGUCUCAACACUAGAGGCACCGCAUACCGCACCUGCAGUCGGAGAUGUGUUCAGAGAUUUCCAGGCAAUGUAGCGAUUGACAUCAAGAGUAUCAG
rnacentral:lncRNA from 1 species